rnacentral:rRNA from 1 species
CUACGUGCCAGCAGCCGCGGUAAUACGGAGGAUGCGAGCGUUAUCCGGAUUUAUUGGGUUUAAAGGGUGCGUAGGCGGCCUGUUAAGUCAGCGGUGAAAUCUAGGAGCUUAACUCCUAAAUUGCCAUUGAUACUGGCGGGCUUGAGUGUAGAUGAGGUAGGCGGAAUGCGUGGUGUAGCGGUGGAAUGCAUAGAUAUCACGCAGAACUCCGAUUGCGAAGGCAGCUUACUAAGGUACAACUGACGCUGAAGCACGAAAGCGUGGGUAUCAAACAGGAUUAGAUACCCUGGUAGUCCACACAGUAAACGAUGUAUACUCGCGGUUUGCGAUAGAUUGUAAGCCGCCAAGCGAAAGCAUUAAGUAUACCACCUGGGGAGUACGCCGGCAACGGUGAAACUCAAAGGAAUUGACGGGGGCCCGCACAAGCGGAGGAACAUGUGGUUUAAUUCGAUGAUACGCGAGGAACCUUACCCGGGCU